rnacentral:rRNA from 1 species
CGCUAUCACUCCUACGGGAGGCAGCAGUGGGGGAAUAUUGCACAAUGGGGGAAACCCCUGAUGCAGCCAUGCCGCGUGUGUGAAGAAGGCCUUCGGGUUGUAAAGCACUUUCAGUAGGGAGGAAGGUAGUGUAGUUAACACCUGCAUUAUUUGACGUUACCUACAGAAGAAGCACCGGCUAACUCCGUGCCAGCAGCCGCGGUAAUACGGAGGGUGCGAGCGUUAAUCGGAAUUACUGGGCGUAAAGCGCAUGCAGGCGGCCUGUUAAGUCAGAUGUGAAAGCCCGGGGCUUAACCUCGGAAUUGCAUUUGAAACUGGCAGGCUAGAGUCUUGUAGAGGGGGUAGAAUUUCAGGUGUAGCGGUGAAAUGCGUAGAGAUCUGAAGGAAUACCAGUGGCGAAGGCGGCCCCCUGGACAAAGACUGACGCUCAGAUGCGAAAGCGUGGGGAGCAAACAGGAUUAGAUACCCUGGUAG